rnacentral:lncRNA from 1 species
GAAAGUGUAGAUCUGGAACAGAUCUAAAAAGAUCAGAAAACCCUCAAAAGCUAGGGUUUUCAAAGGAACUCAAAUGAUAAGAAAAGCUUGGAUCUAAGAAAAAGGAGUCGAGGCUAGGCUCUAAACAGGCACGGCUCACCGGAACAGGCUAGAGAUGGCCAUGGAAUUUGAAUCAACAGAGGUGUGGACUCAACUCUCUGUGGCCGAGUUGAGAAGCUUCAGUAACCAAACAUGAGGAGCCAUAGGCGGCUUGGUGGGUUGUGAAACCACCAUGGAUUCAUAUCAGAAGGUGGCCGGAGAAGAUGAAGGGAACUCAUCGGAGAGGAGCUGAAAGGGGAAGGUCC